rnacentral:rRNA from 1 species
UGAACGCUGGCGGCGUGCCUAAUACAUGCAAGUCGAGCGAACGGACGAGAAGCUUGCUUCUCUGAUGUUAGCGGCGGACGGGUGAGUAACACGUGGAUAACCUACCUAUAAGACUGGGAUAACUUCGGGAAACCGGAGCUAAUACCGGAUAAUAUUUUGAACCGCAUGGUUCAAAAGUGAAAUACGGUCUUGCUGUCACUUAUAGAUGUAUCCGCGCUGCAUUAGCUAGUUGGUAAGGUAACGGCUUACCAAGGCAACGAUGCAUAGCCGACCUGAGAGGGUGAUCGGACACACUGGAACUGAGACAAGGUCCAGACUCCUACGGGAGGCAGCAGUAGGGAAUCUUCCGCAAUGGGCGAAAGCAUGACGGAGCAAAGCCGCGUGAGUGAUGAAGGUCUUCGGAUCGUAAAACUCUGUUAUUAGGGAAGAACAUAUGUGUAAGUAACUGUGCACAUCUUGACGGUACCUAAUCAGAAAGCCACGGCUAACUACGUG